UGGCUCAGGACGAACGCUGGCGGCGUGCUUAACACAUGCAAGUCGAACGAUGAACCACUUCGGUGGGGAUUAGUGGCGAACGGGUGAGUAACACGUGGGCAAUCUGCCCCUCACUUCGGGGAUACCUCCACUCGCAUGGGUGGRGGUUGAAAGCUCCGGCGGUGAGGGAUGAGCCCGCGGCCUAUCAGCUAGUUGGUGAGGUAACGGCUCACCAAGGCGACGACGGGUAGCCGGCCUGAGAGGGCGACCGGCCACACUGGGACUGAGACACGGCCCAGACUCCUACGGGAGGCAGCAGUGGGGAAUAUUGCACAAUGGGCGCAAGCCUGAUGCAGCGACGCCGCGUGAGGGAUGACGGCCUUCGGGUUGUAAACCUCUUUCAGCAGGGAAGAAGCGCAAGUGACGGUACCUGCAGAAGAAGCGCCGGCUAACUACGUGCCAGCAGCCGCGGUAAUACGUAGGGCGCGAGCGUUGUCCGGAAUUAUUGGGCGUAAAGAGCUCGUAGGCGGCCUGUCGCGUCAAUUGUGAAAGCCCGGGGCUUAACCCCGGGUCUGCAGUCGAUACGGGCAGGCUAGAGUGUGGUAGGGGAGAUCGGAAUUCCUGGUGUAGCGGUGAAAUGCGCAGAUAUCAGGAGGAACACCGGUGGCGAAGGCGGAUCUCUGGGCCAUUACUGACGCUGAGGAGCGAAAGCGUGGGGAGCGAACAGGAUUAGAUACCCUGGUAGUCCACGCCGUAAACGGUGGGCACUAGGUGUUGGCGACAUUCCACGUCGUCGGUGCCGCAGCUAACGCAUUAAGUGCCCCGCCUGGGGAGUACGGCCGCAAGGCUAAAACUCAAAGGAAUUGACGGGGGCCCGCACAAGCAGCGGAGCAUGUGGCUUAAUUCGACGCAACGCGAAGAACCUUACCAAGGCUUGACAUACACCGGAAACGUCUGGAGACAGGCGCCCCCUUGUGGUCGGUGGCUCGUGUCGUGAGAUGUUGGGUUAAGUCCCGCAACGAGCGCAACCCUUGUCCCGUGUUGCCAGCAAGCCCUUCGGGGUGUUGGGGACUCACGGGAGACCGCCGGGGUCAACUCGGAGGAAGGUGGGGACGACGUCAAGUCAUCAUGCCCCUUAUGUCUUGGGCUGCACACGUGCUACAAUGGCCGGUACAAUGAGCUGCGAUACCGCGAGGUGGAGCGAAUCUCAAAAAGCCGGUCUCAGUUCGGAUUGGGGUCUGCAACUCGACCCCAUGAAGUCGGAGUUGCUAGUAAUCGCAGAUCAGCAUUGCUGCGGUGAAUACGUUCCCGGGCCUUGUACACACCGCCCGUCACGUCACGAAAGCCCAACCCCCUUGCGGGGAGGGAGCCGUCGAAGUGGGACUGGCGAUUGGGACGA
rnacentral:rRNA from 1 species